ACGCCGGGAGAAGCUUCCCGAGCUGGGGGCGGGGGUCGGGGCGUACCAAGUGUACGCGGGGCAGCGGGGUCGGCGGGGCGCCGGGCGGAGCGCCGCGUCGCCCUCUCCCCUCCGCCGGCUCCGACCCCAGAAGGCAGGGGCUAAGGGAGCCAGAGAGUAGCGCAGGCGCCGCCUCGCCUUGUGCAGUGGCCACCACCGUGGCUUGGCUGGAAACUUCUGGAAAUGGCGGCGGCGACGAGGACGAAGAGGCUGUCUACGUAGGCAACCCACUCUAGUAUUCUUGCCUGGAGAAUUCCAUGGACAGAAGAGGAAUCUGAUGGGCUACAGUCCAUGGGGUGGCAAAGAGUCGGACACAACUGAGCAGGAGAUAAUCUUGGGACCUCUACGUGGAAGAGAGGAAGACAGACAUUGAGUCAAAUUCUGGCAGCAUGAACUUUUAAACAAUGAAAUAGGUUUCUAUUUGUAGUAAAUUUGCCUUCCUUAUAAAUAUCCAGGUAUAUACCAGAUGAUUAUCUGACAGGGUUUUAGAGAGGGUAAAAAAAUCAUUUCUUUAAAUGACAAGUUGGUUUAGACAGUAUUCAAGGCUCCUGAAAACUCCCAUAGACUUACAGUAUAAAAUUUUUUAAAUUAUUCCCACCAACAGUGUAAGAGGGUUCCCUUUUCUCCACACCCUCUCCAGCAUUUCUUAAAAAACUGGAAAUAGAACUGCCAUAUGACCCAGCAAUCCCACUUCUGGGCAUACACACUGAGGAAACCAGAUCUGAAAGAGACACGUGCACCCCAAUGUUCAUCGCAGCACUGUUUAUAAUAGCCAGGACAUGGAAGCAACCUAGAUGCCCAUCAGCAGAUGAAUGGAUAAGGAAGCUGUGGUACAUAUACACCAUGGAAUAUUACUCAGCCAUUAAAAAGAAUUCAUUUGAACCAGUCCUAAUGAGAUGGAUGAAGCUGGAGCCCCUUAUACAGAGUGAAGUAAGCCAGAAAGAUAAAGAACAUUACAGCAUACUAACACAUAUAUAUGGAAUUUAGAAAGAUGGUAACGAUAACCCUAUAUGCAAAACAGAAAAAGAGACACAGAAAUACAGAACAGACUUUUGAACUCUGUGGGAGAAGGCGAGGGUGGGAUGUUUCGAGAGGAAUCGGGUGGAGAGGGAGGUGGGAGCGGGGAUUGGGAUGGGGAAGACGUGUAAAUCCAUGGCUGAUUCAUAUCAAUGUAUGACAAAACCCACUGAAAUGUUGUGAAGUAAUUAGCCUCCAACUAAUAAAAAAAUUAAAAAAAAAAAAAAUUUUUAAAUUAAGUUUACACGAAAGACUAACUUAGGUUAAGCCAUUAAAAUUUACUAAAAAGAAACUGAA